GCUGGGAGAAUGCUGACGUGCACACUUUUCCUGCUGAAUGCUCCAAAGCCAGAGGCUACAGCUAAAGAGAAUCCUAGUCCUCAAAAGCCUCUGAAUUCAGCCUUUAGCUACUGCCAUGAAAUAAACAAUUAUGCUCAUUUAUGGAGUGGGGAAGGAGUUGUUUGACUUUACUGAAGUCAGGAACAAAACUGACAGCAGCAUGCAAAGUGUCCUGUUUGUAAUGCUUUGCUGUAGUUGCAGUCUGUUUGUAAACAGGAUGCUUUUUACCUCUUUGUUUUGAGAAGUGCAAAUAAAAUUGUUAUUAGUCAGCUAAACAGAAUAAAAACCUGCUCUUUGAAAUGUGGACUUGG